rnacentral:rRNA from 1 species
GUACUGAGACACGGACCAGACUCCUACGGGAGGCAGCAGUGAGGAAUAUUGGACAAUGGAGGCAACUCUGAUCCAGCCAUGCCGCGUGCAGGAUGACGGCCCUAUGGGUUGUAAACUGCUUUUAUGUAGGAAGAAACACUCUCACGUGUGAGAGCUUGACGGUACUACAAGAAUAAGGACCGGCUAACUCCGUGCCAGCAGCCGCGGUAAUACGGAGGGUCCAAGCGUUAUCCGGAAUCAUUGGGUUUAAAGGGUCCG